GUCACAUCAACUAUAUUGAGCUUUAUUUUACAUUCUGCAGAGAUGAAGAGAAGCAGGCGACCUGUUGAGGAACCUCCAGGCACCUCAGAUGAUAUUGACUCCGCCGAAGAAGGCACAUCUAAAGGUAUGACGGGAAUAGUUUUUAACCAUCAAUUCUCUUUUGAUGCUAGUCAAUAGCAGCACUAUGUUUCCUUUUUAAGUGUAAAGUUCAAUGUUUCUUUUUAAUUAUGUACAGCUAUACUGGACAUGUAUCAGUAAAAAAAAAAGAUUAUUAAACUUCUUGUUCACCAAU